AGUGUUAAACUUUUGCAGUGCCGAGCGUAAUUGAUUGAGACAUCAAGCUUCUCAUGUGCCAAUAUAAUUAAAUACUAAACAAUUAGGUUUGGCACGGAAGAAGCAUGGCCCGAUCUUGAAUGUGGUUCGCACACAGUAAAAUUGAGCCCUUUUGAAGCAAUAUAAAGACUCGCUUUGUCUAUCUUGUCUGUCUUACCUUGUCUAUCUGAUUUUAUUUUUUGAAAAAAAAAACAGUUAAACAAUCGAUUAUGUUGGUUAAAGUGUUUUUGAAGUGAAAAUCGUGUCAGGCUGUUCUUAGGCUUAUUAUAAAAUUCAAUCUUCGCUUAAUAUUAUAAAAGAAAAGUAAAAAUAAAAGAUUAUGAGGAACAUGAUGCAAUUAUUCUUCAAAGAGAGGUAACAAGUGCGACAAAAAAUAAACAGCGAAAUUACGUCAUAGGCACCCCCCCGUGUUUCGUCACACGGUUGCUUACUACGCAGAAGGAGCCAUCUUGAAUCAAUCAUUGACCGAAAAGUUCACUAGUUUGCCCUACUAUUUGUUGCGUUUAUAUUCUUACAAUGUCUGAUUACAACAAAUAGUCUAGUAAAGAGUCAUAUAUAACUCUUCCGGAGGCAACAGGAGCGAAUUUGGAUCGAAAGGAGCAGUGCAUUCCCUUGGAGCUGAACAGAGAGGAUAAUCACGGCUUCCAGGGCAGUUUUUCAGAAGUCUAGAAAUUGUGAUGCUGGGCUUCUGUUGAUGUGCACUUGAGGGCCCAUGAGAUAGAGUAUUAACAAACAUUCUUUAAUUUUUGUAAGAAUCAUUUAGAGGCACAGUAAUGCUACAGGGUCUGUACUCUAUUUCAAGUCAACAUCAGCUUAGUUUAUGUAAGGGACUCAUCUUCAUUAGUUUUAAUCAAAUAAUACAGUAAAUACAGAGCAAAGAGACACUGGCCAAAUAUACAAGCUUUAGCGAUAUCGCUCUCUUUUCAUCAUCAUAAUCCUAUGGCCUCAGCCGAGAGGGCUCAAGAUGACCCUGAGGUCUUUCAUUGCACUUGGCAUAAUAAUAAUAA